rnacentral:rRNA from 1 species
UACGGGGGGGGCAAGCGUUGUUCGGAAUUACUGGGCGUAAAGGGCGCGUAGGCGGCCUUCUAAGUCAGACGUGAAAUCCCCCGGCUUAACCUGGGAACUGCGUCUGAUACUGGAGGGCUAGAGUUUGGGAGAGGGAUGUAGAAUUCCAGGUGUAGCGGUGAAAUGCGUAGAUAUCUGGAGGAAUACCGGUGGCGAAGGCGGCAUCCUGGACCAACACUGACGCUGAGGCGCGAAAGCUAGGGGAGCAAACGGG